rnacentral:lncRNA from 1 species
CUCGUGUACAUCUAUAGUACAAAAACCAAAGGGAAACACACCGGGGUAUCUCGAUCCUAAACCGCGGAGAAAUCCCUCAAAACAAUCAGAAAAAGGGGAAUGUGACAUCAGUCUUUUGUAACAAUCAGAAAAUAGGUUGAGAAAUCAGUCCUUCAAAACAUUCGAAAAUCAGUCACUCAGAACACACAUAAAACAGUAACAGUCCUUCAAAUCACAAAUUAAUCACUCACUGUUCUUCAGAACAAUUAUAAAACAGUCCUUCAAAACAUUUAUAAAACAUAUGGUUGCAAAUUAAAAGCAUUUACACCGAG